GACGAACGCUGGCGGCGUGCCUAAUACAUGCAAGUAGAACGCUGAAGAGAGGAGCUUGCUCUUCUUGGAUGAGUUGCGAACGGGUGAGUAACGCGUAGGUAACCUGCCUUGUAGCGGGGGAUAACUAUUGGAAACGAUAGCUAAUACCGCAUAACAAUGGAUGACCCAUGUCAUUUAUUUGAAAGGGGCAAAUGCUCCACUACAAGAUGGACCUGCGUUGUAUUAGCUAGUAGGUGAGGUAACGGCUCACCUAGGCGACGAUACAUAGCCGACCUGAGGGGGUGAUCGGCCACACUGGGACUGUGACACGGCCCAGACUCCUACGGGAGGCAGCAGUAGGGAAUCUUCGGCAAUGGGGGCAACCCUGACCGAGCAACGCCGCGUGAGUGAAGAAGGUUUUCGGAUCGUAAAGCUCUGUUGUAAGUCAAGAACGAGUGUGAGAGUGGAAAGUUCACACUGUGACGGUAGCUUACCAGAAAGGGACGGCUAACUACGUG
rnacentral:rRNA from 1 species